UCUCGUGGGAUUGCGUCCUCUGGAAC
rnacentral:sRNA from 1 species